ACGGAAGAUGGGGAUUAUCAGGUCAAGCUACGCAACCUGAUCCGUUUCCUAAAUCAUGGUGAUAAAGUUAAAAUUACGCUGCGUUUUCGUGGUCGUGAAAUGGCUCAUCAAGAACUGGGUAUGAAGAUUCUUGAGCGUUUACAGCAAGAUACAGCUGAAUUUGCUGUUGUAGAACAGCAUGCAAAGCGCGAAGGAAGACAAUUACUGAUGGUUUUAUCACCCAAAAAAACCAAGUAGCUGAAAACAAAUGCGGAGUACAUUGUUAUGCCGAAGUUAAAGUCACAUCGCGGAGCGUCUAAACGC
rnacentral:misc_RNA from 1 species